UUAAGGUGCUUGCCCUUUUCCAGAUAUUUUGAAUCAGCUGUUAUGUUUGUUGAUGCGAUUCCAUUCUGUUGUGUUCAACUGUUGGUUGUUUUUGAAGGGGUGUUGAUGCAGAGGAGGGAGGCGAGGAUCCAGUGCCAGAAAAAGGCAUAAGCUCUAGAGCAGCUGACGCCGAUUGAUCCACUCUUUUGGUCCAUGACGGUUGGCUAUGGACGUAUGACGAUACCUGGAUUUGCUGAUAUCCGUGGUGCUUCAUUACGUGCUCAACGAUGAAGCCCCUUCGUCGUACGGACCUGUCUACAUGAAGACCUGUCACUUAGUAUACAAUCUGUUGCUUUAUUUCCUUUAGGGGGUAUGUGCCGCAGGUACUUUUAAAUUUGAACAAAACCUACCUUAUUAUUACCUGUUUGCUUGAAUGUGUGUCGCCGACAAUGUAGUGGAGUAUGAGCAGACGCAAACUUGUGGUGCUUAUGGCUGUUGUUGGCAAAUGACUUAAAUAUGUCUA